UUAGAGCCCUUUGUAUGUGCGGGCGGCCAUGGCCGGUAACGGGAGCCCAGUGCCGAGCCUGGAAGAUACGCUCGCCUCCUGCCCCGUGUGCAUGGAAUAUUUCAUAGAUGCCAGCUGCGGGCACAACAUCUGCCCGCGGGCCUGCAACCCAGACCCCCUGGAGGAGCCGGAGUGGAGCCCUUGCUGUCCUAGAUGCCAGAAGCCUGUCCUGCAUGUGUCAUGUGCCACAUACUGGGAUAUGUCAAAAGAGUGGCUGGCCUGUCUGAUAAAAGAGAGAGAAGAAACCAAAGCUGAUGAGGAGAUGCAAAGUGAGAAGCUGCUGAAACAGACGGAAGCUGAGAAACAGAGGAUCCUCUGCGAAUGGAAGGAUCUACGUGGGUUUCUGGAGAAGCAGGAGCAGGUACUGCUGUCCCAGCUAGAAAAGCUGGACAGAGCUAUUGUCAAGAGAAGGGACAAGAGCAUCUCUGAGCUGUCCCAGGAGAUUUCUCUGCUAAGUGAACUGCUCAAUCAGAGGGGAGGAGAGAACGGGCAGGAGCCACUGAGCCAGUCCAUACAGGGUGUGGGCAGCUCUGAGAACAGCAGGGAGAACAGAGUGCUGCAGAAGCCAGAGUCUGGGUUUGUGGAGCUGGAGAAGAGACUUGGGGAUUUCUCUCAGAGAAGUACCACCCUGCUGGAGCUGCUGCAGGGAUUCAAAGAGACUCUGCGACUGGAGCUGGACAGCAACAUAGGUUUUCUAAUUCCAAAACCUGACAUGAUUGCUCAGGUGGAAUGGGGCAAAGAACCCUGGGUGCCAGAUCUCCAGUGCUCCAAAGAAAGAGAGAUCCUGAGAAACACCUGCACAGCAGGCAAUGGGAUGGUGAGUGGGAACGAGGAGGAGAAUCCACAGCAGGAAGGUCCCAAGCGAGUGGAACCUCAUGGGACAGUAUCAGGAAUAUCCAAAGCAAACAUUUCCCAGAGUCCUGAUCUCGAGGAAGCCCAUGAGAGUCAAUGCAGGUCAGAAAGGCAGCAGGAAAACCACCAAGAGAAGUUGCAAGGUAAAUCAACUCACCAAGUGGAAGGCUUGGAGGAUCUCAAUGAAACAGUGAUCCAGCUGAAAAUUAGCACUAAAAAGAAACAGCAUGAAUGUGUUGAGUGCGGGAAAAAGUUCAAUCACAAAUCAAACCUUACUAGACAUCUGAAACUGCACACAGGAGAGAAACCAUUUAUGUGCAGUGACUGUGGGAAAACCUUCACUCGGAGGUCACACCUUAUUUCACACCAGACAAUGCACUUGGGUCAGAAACCUUAUCCCUGCUGUGAGUGUGGGGACAGAUUCACACGGUGCUCAAACCUUAUUUCACAUCAGAGAAUCCACUUAGGCGAGAGACCCUAUAAAUGCCCCGACUGUGGAAAAAGCUUCAGUUCAAAAUCAAACCACACUGUUCAUCAGAGAAUCCACACAGGAGUAAAACCUUAUAAGUGUGCUUAUUGUGGGGAAAGUUUCAUUCAGAGCUCACACCUGGUUGUUCAUCAGAGAACACACACGGGAGAGAGACCCUAUACAUGUCCCGAUUGUGGGAAAAGCUACAAGGCGAAGGUUGCUCUAAUUUCCCAUCAAAAAGUCCAUGGAAGAUGGGAGCUCUCACUGUGGGGCAAUGGAUCUGUGCCCACCUGCAACAAACUAUAAUUUGCUUCAUUUGAGGGUGGUUCUGGAUGGGACAGUAGGUGGCUAGAUGGUUUAGGUUCCAGUGGAUGGUGGUGGAGGCCAGAAUAGGAGGGAGCACUAGGUACUACUGGGGAGAUGGGUCAUAUCAGGUUCUGGGAGGGGAGCAGGUGAUGGAAUCAAUGAAGAGUAAUUUCUGUGGGUUCCACACACACUUUCCAAUUUAGAGAAGAGGUAAACUAAAGCUCCCUUGCAGUUUCUCUUGAAGACAUAUCGGCAGCUCCUAAGGCCUCUUGGGCAGGGGCAGAGGCACAUUUUUCAGGAAAGCAGCAAGGGACCCGGUGGGUCUGUAGUUACCAGGCAGUAAGAGAUGCUGAUCAGAAGUUGUAGAAUUUUAGCAUCAUGUUCAGUGUAUUGUACAUCUGUGCAGACACAAACAAUCACUGGAGAUUGGGGGGAUUUUAGGUGGAAAUUCUCUGGAGAGGUGGGGGUCUUUGGGGGAUUGCACAGAUCCGGUGAGGGCAGUAUGAUGUAAUAGUGAGAGCAGGGGGAAUUGCGACUCAGGACUCCUGGGUUCAGAUGCCAGCUCUGAGAAGGGCGUGAGGUCUAGAUUAGAGUGGGGGCAUGGAAGUGGGAGGCUGGAAUGCUAGGUUCCAUAACCAGCUCAGUUCCUUCCCUCCUCUCUGUGCAUCUCUUCCUCCCAUUCCCACCAUGGGGAUAAUAGUAGACUCCCACCUCCCAGGGAACCAUGCAACCUCACUAAUUACUGUGUGUUAAGAAGAAUGUAGGUACCAGAACAGGGAAAGGUCCUUAUCUGGCUGAGGAAAGAGAGGACCAACCAUCAGUUUGAUGGCAUUUCUCUGUUUAUCUGGCUGUAACACGAUAACUUUUGAAAACCGCGUCCAAUUGGGCCGAACCCUAACAAGUCUCCAAUUGUCUGUAGAUCAAAGAACUGAUUGAUCAUGGCAAAUCCCAAAGUAAUGUGGCCUUCUUGGAAAUUGAGAGCCACUCUGGCUAGAUGCUUAAGGUGGUCUAGCUGUAUAUUCAGUUUAUAUCUAUCUCUGGCCAUCUUAUUUCUGCUACCAAAGUUUGAACCAGAAUAACACCCUUCUUCCAGUCUUGGGGAAUGGUAUUAGUGCACUGGAGGGUCUGGAAAAGCCUAUGCAGCCAAAGGACAACAAUACUCUCAUCUGCCUUCUGCAACUCAGGAGUGAUGUUACAAUCUCAUUGAUGGCAACCAUUGAUACCUUCCAGCUAGCAACACCCCGCAUCUCAGCCCCGUAGUCCCAGCAGAGAUUAAAAUGUUGAGGGGAAAAUGGAAGCCGCUGGAGCCCUU